rnacentral:rRNA from 1 species
AACUGGAGGAAGGUGGGGAUGACGUCAAGUCAUCAUGGCCCUUACGGCCAGGGCUACACACGUGCUACAAUGGUCGGUACAAAGGGUUGCCAAGCCGCGAGGUGGAGCUAAUCCCAUAAAACCGAUCGUAGUCCGGAUCGCAGUCUGCAACUCGACUGCGUGAAGUCGGAAUCGCUAGUAAUCGUGAAUCAGAAUGUCACGGUGAAUACGUUCCCGGGCCUUGUACACACCGCCCGUCACACCAUGGGAGUGGGUUGCUCCAGAAGUAGCUAGUCUAACCGCAAGGGGGACGGUUACCACGGAGUGAUUCAUGACUGGGGUGAAGU